rnacentral:rRNA from 1 species
AACGAACGCUGGCGGCAGGCUUAACACAUGCAAGUCGAACGAGAUCUUCGGAUCUAGUGGCAGACGGGUGAGGAACACGUGGGAACAUCCCUUGCAGUUCGGAAUAACGGAGGGAAACUUGAGCUAAUACCGGAUACGUCCUUCGGGAGAAAGAUUUAUCGCUGAAAGAUUGGCCCGCGUCUGAUUAGCUAGUUGGGGAGGUAACGGCUCACCAAGGCUACGAUCAGUAGCUGAUCUGAGAGGAGGAUCAGACACAUUGGGACUGAGACACGGCCCAAACUCCUACGGGAGGCAGCAGUGGGGAAUAUUGGACAAUGGGCGCAAGCCUGAUCCAGCCAUGCCGCGUGAGUGAUGAAGGCCUUCGGGUUGUAAAGCUCUUUUGUCCGGGAAGAUAAUGACUGUACCGGAAGAAUAAGCCCCGGCAAACUUCGUGCCAGCCGCCGCCGUAA